rnacentral:rRNA from 1 species
GACGAACGCUGGCGGCGUGCUUAACACAUGCAAGUCGAGCGGUAAGGCUCCUUCGGGGGUACACGAGCGGCGGACGGGAGAGUAACACUUGCGUAAUCUGCCCUUCACUUCGGGAUAACCACCGCAAACGGUGGCUAAUACCGAAUACGCCUAGUCUUCUCAUGCAGUGCUGGUGGGAAUUCUUUUCGGUGUUGGAUGUGCUCGCGGGCUAUCAGCUUUAUGUUGGGCUAAUGGCCUACCAAGGCCUCGACGGGUAGCCGGGCCGAGAGGGUGACCGGCCACACUGGGACUGAAACACGGCCCAGAGGCCGACGGGGGGCAGCAGCGGGGAAGAUUGGAAAAUGGGCGAAAGCCUGAUCCGGCAAUGCCGCGGGAGGGAUGACGGCCUUAGGGUUGUAAACCUGUUGCAGGACCGACGAAGCGCACUGUCGGGUGGUGACGGUAGAUACAGAAGAAGGACCGGCCAACUACGUG